GACGAACGCUGGCGGCGUGCUUAACACAUGCAAGUCGAACGCAGUGGCGAACGGGUGAGUAACGCGUAAUCAACUUGCCCUUCAGAGGGGGACAACAGUUGGACACGACUGCUCAUACCGCAUACUGAAGGAGGGGCUUGCGUCUGAUUAGCUAGUUGGAGGGGUACCGGCCCACCAAGGCGCUGAUCAGUAGCCGGUCUGAGGGGGUGAACGGCCACAUUGGGACUUGGGCACGGCCCAGACUCCUACGGGAGGCAGCAGUGAGGAAUCUUCCGCAAUGGACGAAAGUCGGACGGGGCAACGCCGCGGGAGUGAUGACGGCCUUCGGGUUGUAAAGCUCUGUUAAUCGGGACGCGGUACCGGAAUAGAAAGCCACGGCUAACUACGUGCCAGCAGCCGCGGUAAUAC
rnacentral:rRNA from 1 species